GCAUGCCUACAACAUAGCAUUAAUGCAACAGAUCCCAUUAGAACUGUGCAGUUAAGCGUGCUCAGGCUAGAGUAGUACCAGGAUGAGUGACCGCCUGGGAAGUCCUAGUGUUUUACAUGCU
rnacentral:rRNA from 1 species